CAGCCGCCGCGGUAAUACGUAUGUCCCGAGCGUUAUCCGGAUUUAUUGGGCGUAAAGCGAGCGCAGACGGUUUAUUAAGUCUGAUGUGAAAGCCCGGAGCUCAACUCCGGAAUGGCAUUGGAAACUGGUUAACUUGAGUGCAGUAGAGGUAAGUGGAACUCCAUGUGUAGCGGUGGAAUGCGUAGAUAUAUGGAAGAACACCAGUGGCGAAGGCGGCUUACUUGACUGCAACUGACGUUGAGGCUCGAAAGUGUGGGUAGCAAACAGGAUUAGAUACCCGAGUAGUCCCUGUCUCUUAUAC
rnacentral:rRNA from 1 species